rnacentral:rRNA from 1 species
AUAUUUGAGAGUUUGAUCCUGGCUCAGGAUGAACGCUGGCGGCGUGCCUAACACAUGCAAGUCGAGCGAUUCUCUUCGGAGAAGAGCGGCGGACGGGUGA